GAUAAUCAAAAAGUUGAUCCUACAAAAACAAAAAGAAAAAACAACCUCCGCCUUAUAUACGACCGACAGGUAUUCAUAUAUCUGAGGGUUGAUUUGCUGAUGCGCAAGCAUGACUCUCAUAUUCUAGGUCGUCGCAGUAUUCGGUUCCUCCUUCUAUACAUGUGGGUCCACUUCAUGGGACUAGAGCGACUCAUUUUGCUCUCAUCCCCAUGCCACCGCCAUCACGGUACUAUCAGAUAACCACUGGCACAUCCAGGCAUCUACCAUCGUCUGUAGUACCCUCUGCUAGCAGUCACCCACGUUCUCACAGUGAUUAUGCUGGAUCUAUUGGGUUGACGAGUCUUCAUCUUUGAGGCACUCCAUCCGAUGCUUCAAAUCCACCCAUGCCAGUGCAUCCACCGACACUUGUUCAGUAGCUCGGAGACAGAGAUGAUUAUCAGAGGCGGUAUAUUAUACCAUAUGGAAUAGGGUUUAAGCCCGAUGCUGGAGUUAAAAAAAUUAUGACUAAAUGCAUUAGUCAAAACUUCAAUGGCUAUUGAACCAGUUGCCAAAAGGUUCCAGAAUAUGACAGAGAAAAGAUAUUUAAAGAAUUUCAUAAAUAUUACUGGUGGGAUGACGCGCAUGAAAGUGCUAUACGGAGGAAUUUUUAUAGAAGAGCUAGAGCCAGAUUGAACGGUCUGUUGGAUUAUGCCAGAACGAACAGGGUACAACCAGGGUUUAUACUAGACUCAUGUGGCAAGAUUAUAUUCGCUAUUGGAAUAGCGAUGAAUACAAAUUGUUGAGUGAGAAAGGAAAGAAAGUCAGGGCAUCAUCCAAGGGUGGCUCACUACAUACUACGGGUGCAGUUAGUCGAAUUACUGUGGAGAAAAAAAUGAAAAAAAUUGGGUAGGAAGGUAAGACACGAUGAGAUAUUCGAGGAGAAGUAUGUGAGGAAGAAAAAGAACCCAACUGAUGAAGAUAUCUGGGUUGAGCCUCGUGCAAAAGCUGCCCAUGACAAAUAUAUGCAGCUCGUUAAUGAGUAUGUAGUACUCAGUCUCCUGAAAGUCAAGGUGACACAAUACCUGAAGAUGUAGAGGAGGAGUUAUGGCAAGAAACUAUGGGUCCUCCAGUUAGAGGACAAUACUACGGAUAACACAGAAAGUAUUUUGGCGAGAAUGUUAGGUCUUUAGCCGGGCCUACAUCCUAUCCCUUAUUAGUAGAUAGAGAAACCGUUGAAGCACUAAGAAAUACAAUUUCUAAACUCACUGAAGAGUUUAUUGCACAGUGAGAGAGGGCGAAGGAGAAGGAGGAGGAAACAACAUCACAAAUCAUGAUGUUGCUGUAGCAGUUCAACUCUUUUAUUCGAUUUACAGGGAUUCUUCCUCCAUGUCCUGGUGAUGCAGUUUGGGAUGCAAAAGGUCCAGGCCCACUGGAUGAUAUCAGCACAGAUGAGGAAUCAGAUCCUAUGUGUGCGACUGAGGAUGCGGAUGAAGAAGACGAUGAUAAUGAGUGGUAGUUUUUUGACUUUUGUAUGUGUUGUAGUUUGAAUUUGGAGAUGAGUUGUAGUUUUUACACUUUUUUAUGUUUUGUAUGUUUUUAGUCUUGUAUUGUAUGUUGGUUGUUUGAAUGGAAUGUAACAUAUAUAUUGUAUGCUCAUUUGUUUGGUUGGUUGAUGGAAUGUAGCAUAUAUAAGUCUUUUAUUUUUAAAAAAAAAUUACCAGAAAAAACGAUCGCAGGUGGUUGGUUUUCAGGAAAAUUUUAUAAAAACCGACCACAUG